rnacentral:rRNA from 1 species
GGGGAAUAUUGGACAAUGGGCGAAAGCCUGAUCCAGCCAUGCCGCGUGAGUGAUGAAGGCCCUAGGGUUGUAAAGCUCUUUUGUGCGGGAAGAUAAUGACGGUACCGCAAGAAUAAGCCCCGGCUAACUUCGUGCCAGCAGCCGCGGUAAUACGAAGGGGGCUAGCGUUGCUCGGAAUCACUGGGCGUAAAGGGUGCGUAGGCGGGUUUCUAAGUCAGAGGUGAAAGCCUGGAGCUCAACUCCAGAACUGCCUUUGAUACUGGAAGUCUUGAGUUCGGGAGAGGUUAGUGGAACUGCGAGUGUAGAGGUGAAAUUCGUAGAUAUUCGCAAGAACACCAGUGGCGAAGGCGGCUCACUGGCCCGAUACUGACGCUGAGGCACGAAAGCGUGGGGAGCAAACA